UACGGAGGGUGCGAGCGUUGCUCGGAAUCACUGGGCGUAAAGCGUACGCAGGCGGCUCGCUAAGUCGGGUGUGAAAGCCCGGGGCUCAACCCCGGAAAUGCGCCCGAUACUGGCGAGCUUGAGUACGGGAGAGGGAUAGCGGAAUUCCUGGUGUAGAGGUGAAAUUCGUAGAUAUCAGGAGGAACACAAGUGGCGAAAGCGGCUUCCUGGCCCGAUACUGACGCUCAUGUACGAAAGCGUGGGGAGCAAACAGG
rnacentral:rRNA from 1 species